UUAGAUGGCGACCGGCGCACGGGUGAGUAACACGUAUCCAACCUGCCGAUGACUCGGGGAUAGCCUUUCGAAAGAAAGAUUAAUACCCGAUGGCAUAGUUCUUCCGCAUGGUAGAACUAUUAAAGAAUUUCGGUCAUCGAUGGGGAUGCGUUCCAUUAGGUUGUUGGCGGGGUAACGGCCCACCAAGCCUUCGAUGGAUAGGGGUUCUGAGAGGAAGGUCCCCCACAUUGGAACUGAGACACGGUCCAA
rnacentral:rRNA from 1 species